rnacentral:tRNA from 1 species
GCGGGGGUUGCCCAGCCAGGUCAAAGGCGCAGGGCUUAGGACCCUGUCUCGUAGGAGUUCGUGCGUUCGAAUCGCACCCCCCGCA